rnacentral:rRNA from 1 species
GAGUUUGAUCAUGGCUCAGAACGAACUCUGGCGGCGUGGCUAAGGCAUGCAAGUCGAACGAACCCUUCGGGGUUAGUGGCGAACGGGUGAGGAAUAGAUGGAUAACGUACCCUGGACACGAGGAUAGCGGCGGGACUUCGGUUCCUUUGCGAAAGUGCCGGUAAUACUCGAUGACCCCGCGGAACCGCAUGGUUUUGCGGGCAAAUGCUCCGGUGGUCUGGGAGCGGUCCAUCUCCUAUCAGCUUGUUGGUGAGGUAACGGCUCACCAAGGCAUCGACGGGUAGCGGGCGUGAGAGCGUGGCCCGCCACAUCGGGACUGAGACACGGCCCGGACACCUACGGGUGGCUGCAGCAACGAAUAUUCCGCAAUGGACGAAAGUCUGACGGAGCGACGCCGCGUGUAGGAAGAAGUCCUUCGGGAUGUAAACUACUGUCAGGGGUUAGGAACACCGACCAGCCCCACAGGAAGCACCGGCUAACUCCGUGCCAGCAGCCGCGGUAAUACGGAGGGUGCAAGCGUUGUUCGGAAUCACUGGGCUUAAAGGGCGUGCAGGCGGAACGGAUAGUGUCGGGUGAAAGCCCACGGCUCAACCGUGGAAUGGCCCGGCAAACUUCCGUUCUUGAGGCAGGUAGAGGUGACUGGAACGACUGGUGGAGCGGUGAAAUGCGUAGAUAUCAGUUGGAACGCCGGAGGCGAAAGCGGGUCACUGGGCCUGUCCUGACGCUGAGACGCGAAAGCGUGGGGAGCAAACAGGAUUAGAUACCCUGGUAGUCCACGCCGUAAACGAUGCGCACUAGGUAUGAGAGGCUCUGACGCCGAUCGUGCCGCAGGAAAACUGAUAAGUGCGCCGCCUGGGGAGUACGGCCGCAAGGCUAAAACUCAAAGGAAUUGACGGGGGCUCACACAAGCGGUGGAGCAUGUGGAUUAAUUCGAAGCAACGCGAAGAACCUUACCUGGGUUUGACAUGCACGGAUGCUCUUCUUGAAAGAGAAGUAGGCUGCCUUCGGGUGAAACGUGCACAGGUGCUGCAUGGCUGUCGUCAGCUCGUGCUGUGAAGUGUCGGGUUAAGUCCCUUAACGAGCGAAACCCCUAUCAUUAGUUGCCAGCGGGUUAUGCCGGGGACUCUAAUGAGACCGCCGGCGUCAAGCCGGAGGAAGGUGGGGACGACGUCAAGUCAUCAUGGCCUUUAUGUCCAGGGUGUCGCACGUGCUACAAUGGCUGCUACAGAGCGACGCGAUACCGCGAGGUGGAGCAAAUCGCAGAAAAGCAGCCCCAGUUCGGAUUGGAGUCUGCAACUCGACUCCAUGAAGUUGGAAUCGCUAGUAAUCGCGCAUCAGCCACGGCGCGGUGAAUGUGUUCCUGAGCCUUGCACACAC